rnacentral:lncRNA from 1 species
UGACCGAUGAAGUUUGCGUGUCACUGGAACUCGAGAUGGCUGACAAGUCGUUAGAUGUGAUAUUUCAGAGCAUCUCCUCACAGCCCAGCGAAAAUGGAGUGGACAUGUAUCAUAUAUAUAUGCUCCUGUGUUGGUCCGGUUCUUUAUGAAUCCUUGAAUGUUCUUCUACUAUAUGCUGCGCUGCGCAUAAAAGGGUUUAUCGAUAUGUUUAGGUUUAUUUAGGCUCGUGGAAUUCGAACAUGGUCCGUCUGUCGCCAUGUGAAUAUCUAUAGCUUUGUGGAGUAGAGGUGAUGUAAUUAUCUAAGAGUUGCAGCUGAAACUCUGAUGUGAAUAAUGGGCGGAUUUCUUGCCUGCUGCUUGCCUUGGAAGAAGAGAGGUACACUAAUAAGCUUUGCUUGCUUGUGCCGAUUCCUAAUGAUAGCCAGUUGAUCAGAAACAGUAUUUGUUGUGGGGGACAUCCUUCCGUGGGACCUAAUUAUAUUGGUGGUUUUCCUGUCCCGCGGUUCGUUCUCCUUUUGUUCCCUCCUCUGUACUCAUCCGAUAUAAAAACGAUCUGGUAUUUCAGGCCUAUUGAAGGAAAUAUUCAGGCGGGAAUCUCUCCCCCGGUGACCUUUCAUUUUAUUUUAAUUUUAUUUUUGAAAAAAGAAUCUCGUAACUGCAUUGCAGAUAGCAUCCAGCACCCGAAAUACUACGAGCCAGUCGGCGUCCCCAAUGCACGCGCACCUGCAAUGCAAAGCUACGUCCCCGGCAGCUGCCAAACGAGUCUGUAGUGCCUAGUGCACCACGGGUCGUAACCAAACUGCAUCAUCCGUGGAGUCGUUCUCUUGAAAGCUCUCGGUAAGAAACGCUUCGCCACCAACCCCAACGAAAAUCCGAUCACGGAAAUGGCCCGAGCCUCUCAGAAAAGGGGCAUUGCUAAAUCUCAGUCGACUGAGACUAAACGAAAUUUUAAGGGGUGUUUGUUUCCAGGGACUUUUUUGUGUAGGGACUAGAAAAAGUCCCUUUUAGAGACUUUUUUACCAAACGGGAGGGACUUUUUAGGGACUAAACUAGACAUUUGAGACUAAAUGAAGAAUACUCUCAAGGAGAGUCUUUUUUGGGACUUUUUGAGACUUUUCCAACAAUGCCCCUCCAUGCAUCCAUUGGCCCGCCACCCCAUGGUGUUGUUUGAUUGUUAUUUUUUUAUAUACUAGGGGCAACAUGGUCAUUUAAUAACCUCUAGGAAGGGACUAGAGACUUUUUAGUCUCUGAAAACAAACUUUUUAGGGACUAGGGACUUUGGGACUAGAAAAAAUCCUAAGACUUAUGAACCAAACAGGGUCUUAGUCGAUGCUAUAUGCAUGAAAUCUUACCUGAAAAUCCAUGCAAAGUUUUCUUUUAUUUUUCUUUUUUUUUUAUAUGUUGUAUCACUCGACUAAGACUCGUUAAGUGUCAGUUAAAAGAUGUAGCCACACCCCUAAAAAAAUCUGGAUGCAAAACGAUGAACACCAAAAAUCAAUCAACCCGUCAGUCGGACUGACGGUCUCGCUCUCGCCUGGCCGCUGAAAGACCGAAGUGAACCAUUCGUGUCACUGGCACUGUGCCAGAAACCCACAACUCCAGAAGGACUGAAGGAGCGAGAGCGUACAUAGCUGGUGCAGGCCACGGCAAGCUUCAAAAGGAAAAUUGGCAUCACAGGAGAGGAGGGAGCGCGGCCACACACGGCCUCGCCCCCACACGACGAAGCCCCCGCCGCGUCCACCGCACACUUUUCGCGCCCCCCUCGGCCUCGGCACGGGUCUCGGCUCGGCCGAGCCAAAUCAGGCGCCCAGUCCGUCCCCUCCCUCCCUCCGGCCGGGUCGGUCCGAGCGACGAAGCCCUCCCUAUCCGGUGCGCGUCCACCUCACCCGACCCGAGACCCAUCGGUUCGCCUCCUUCGUUAUAACACUCCACGCGCCCGCUCUCGGGAUAUAAUCAAUCAUCCACCCGCUCUUAUCUCCUCUUCCUCCUCCUCCCUCCCCCCCACCACCCCCGCCAUGGCCACAGCCGCGGCCUGCGCGUCCUCCCUCCUCGCGCCGCCCUCCGCCUCGUGCGCGGCGGGGCCGGCCGCGUCCGGCGCGCUCUUCCCCACCUCCGUGCCCUCGCUGCGCGCGUACCCGCGGCUGCUCCUCGCCUUCCGCCGCCCCGCCGCGGCCGCCGUCGCCGACCCGCAGGGCGCCGCCGUGCUAGAGGAGGAGGAGGACGAGGCGCCCGUCCAGUUCGACGACAUCGACGAGGACUACGAGGAUGGAUACGGCGGGCGCGGCCCCGCGUUCACGGCCCCCACCCGCCCGCGCACCGGCAAGGCCGCUCUCCCGCUCAAGCGCGACCGCGUACGCCACGGAACCCCGCGCGCAUCGUUUUAUCUUCUGUGUACGCGUCUCGUUUUGGACGGCUGGGUGACGUUGGUCUCUAAUGCGUGCAGACCAGGUCCAAGAGAUACCUGGAGAUACAGAAGCUGAGGGAGAGCAAGAAGGAGUACGACGUGCCCAUGGCCAUCUCGCUCAUGAAGCAGGUCGCCAACACCCGCUUCGUCGAGUCCGCGGAGGCGCAUUUCCGCAUGAACCUCGACCCCAAGUACAACGACCAGCAGCUCCGGGCCACGGUACCGUUUCAUUUCUUCUUUCUCUUGUUUGCUCUCUCUCUCUCUCUCUCUCUCUCUCUCUCUCUCUCUCUCUCUUCCGUUGUUUGAUUUGUGUUUUUGCUUGUGGCCGCAGGUCAAUUUGCCCAAGGGGACGGGACAGACCGUGAAAAUUGCAGUUCUCACCCAAGGUGAGUGACCACCGGUUGCAUGUUGUUUGGACAUGGUUAUCGCCCAAACCGAUGCAAAUUGCACUCUAUGACACAUGUGUUCAACAGAGUUAUAUGAUGCAUGGAGUUGAUCGAGUUCAGAGCAUGCUGACUUCAAUUUAAUUGGUCAAUAUGUUAUCUAUGUAAAGCACCAAUGCAUGUUUUGUUGAACAAUGUGGUCGACAUGGUAAAAAUGAGUGUGCCAAAGCAAACCCCGUUGGCUGUUAGUUUCAAGUAGUGACAACCCAUGAACUUGCAUUCCACCUAGGCUUGUCUAUCUAUGGUUCAUGUCUCGUUCAAUUGAUGAAUAUUAUGCUUACAGUUAUCUUGCUCUUCUUUUGGAGUUGAAAAGCCAUAAAUGUAUCAGAAUUGAAUGUUCAUAUUGGGUUGAUCAAAAUUGUGUCUUAGGGGUAACUUACUCAGCAGAAGCUCCCAAUCAGCACACAUUAUGCUCAUGGUGUUCCUAGUUCUGUUCAUACACGUAGGAUGUCAGUUGGGCAUACCACUUUGGAUUCAUUUUCUUGAUGCUAUGAUGCAUAGACUUGUUGAAUAAUGUAAACUUCCAUUUCAGUCUUUUGUUAUACUAUGUUAUUCUUACCUGGUUAUGCUCAGAAAAUUGGCUACCUUAUAUAGUGAUUCUCUGAUGUCUUGCAGGUGAGAAGAUAGAUGAGGCAAGGGCUGCAGGCGCUGAUAUUGUUGGCUCAGAUGACUUGAUUGAACAAAUAAAAGGAGGAUUCAUGGAGUUUGACAAAUUGAUUGCGUCACCUGAUAUGAUGCCUAAGGUAUGGCAGUGGAACUAGCUUUGUGCGGAUCAUCUUUGAAGUCUCUCUUGUUUAAUGAAGCUUCCCUAUCCACAUGCAAGGUUGUUGGGCAUAUUUAAUUAAGCAAUUGUCGGACACUUCACGGAAACAGAUUUUACUAGGAAAUAAUACAGUGAUGCCUUUUUAUUUGUGAUGAUGGUCAAAUAUACUCCAUUGGAAUGUAUUUUUCUUUUUGUUGUAUUGCAUUCCCUUUACUCAAACAUUCCCUUUCUUAGGUUGCCAGCUUGGGUAAGAUUCUAGGACCAAGAGGAUUGAUGCCCAACCCCAAAGCUGGUACUGUUUCUCCAAACAUUACUCAGGUACUGUAGAGACUUUAUUUGGUUUCCCGUAAAUAUUGCUUGUGAAUCAUCAAUCAUGUCUGUUGUUUGGACUGGGUAUUGCGACAGUGACAGUGGGUGAAACGUAGGGAGUUGCCCGUCCAACUUCAGUACCCAGAUAUUCAUAGGUUGCUUCCUUGGCUAAUUGCAUAUAUUUCCAUAGCUGAAGGCUCGUUCAUAGAGAUAUGUAUUGUGCAACUCGAAUGUGUAGUUUGGUUGUGCUAGGGAAAGUCAAGGAAGUGGGAGAGGAAAGUAGAAGAUGUUGAUGUGGCAGUGAACUGCUAAUAAUUUUUAAUCUGCAAGUUGCCUUGGUAAGGCUGAAAGUAUAGUAACAAUAAUAAUCAACUUAAGGCAGAGUGGGUUAGUUGACUGUAAGGUAGGACUACCAAGUCUACAAUUGUUGAUGACAUUUGAGUUGAUGGAUUUUAGCACCUAGUCUCAAAGCUUUGAGUACCUGAAACCACUUAGGAUUGCAUAAGUAGGACUAACACAUCAUUUUUAUUUAUAUAGUAAAUAGGUAACAUUUGUAGUUGAAUACCUGAAUGUUAAUCUAUAUUCAUCCUGGCAAGACUAUCAUGAUACACUGCAGCUAUACAGGACUGCAGCAACACAUACAGUACAACCUUGAUAUAAGUUGUUGACACUGAUAAAUGAUCUUAUUCACACAUUGUAUUCAUAAAGUCUCUUUUUUCGUGAUAUUGCGACAUUCAUCUGGCUAUGGUCUGCCGUGUGAUUUUUUUUUUCUCUGCUAGUCAUCUCUGGAGUAAGUUUGCAGCUGAACUUCUGGUGGUAUCCUGUCUGCAGGCUUUCCUAUGCAGAAGUUGCCCUUUACUUUUGCUGAUCGUGAAUCUAAGUCAUUCUAGAAUUCAUGCCAGUAAAAAAAAAUUGGUUUGGCCUUCAAUGUAUAAAUACUAAUGUAAUCUGUCAUCAUUUUAAAUAUAUUUCCAUACUGUAUAGUUGUAUGAUUGUGGCAGCAACAUAGUACGAGAUAAAUUAGUUGUUGAAGUGGUAUGGAUUACCUUGAAGGUCGUGUUGGCGUCGAGAAUGACCUAAUAGUUGAGAGUAUUAUUUGAUCUGUUUAUGCUGUACCAACUUAAAAUUGAGCCAAUCAGCCCCAAUCUUGUACUACCUAUGUAACAUUUUACAAGACGUUUUUAGAGUCUAUGACAGUGUCAAAAAACGUCUUAUAUUAAGUUACGAAGGGAGUAGCAGUUAAAAGUUUUAUACUGUCAAUGGAGAGUGAUGAGCUUGAUUAUGCUAAUUGUGCAAAUGGUUACAGGCUAUCGAUGAGUUCAAGAAAGGUAAAGUUGAAUUCAGAGUUGAUAAGACAGGGAUUGCGCACAUUCCUUUCGGCAAGGUUAACUUCCCUGAAGAAGACCUUAUUGCAAACUUCAUGGCUGUUGUUGUAAGAUAUCUGCUCUUAAAAACAUCUCUUUUGUUGCCACUCUCAGAGUUUAUGUUUACUUACCUUUUGCCAUAUCUUCCCAGCGCUCCAUUGAGAGGAACAAGCCAUCUGGUGCAAAGGGGAUAUACUGGAAAACGGCAUAUGUAUGCUCAUCAAUGGGACCUUCAAUCAAGCUGAACAUUAAAGAAAUGCUCGACUAUGGCGCAGAUUCGUCUAACUAGAUGUCACCACGACCAAUUAAGUCAUCAGGCAUUUGCUGCCAACUUCACAGGCUUGACCAUCCAUCCCUUGUGAUAAAUACACACUGAGAAACACGACUGUGGGGGAACACUGGGAGGUGCUUAGGUACAGUUUUUUUUUAGUUUCACGGACAUCCGACGUCGGCAGUUAAACAGUGCCCUGAUCAACAAACAAGCGGUAUUGUUGGUCGUUUGUAUUUAUGAGCGAAUUAUGCAUGCACUUACACAUGUAUUUUUGUCUGAUGUUUGUUGUAAUGUUCAUCAUUUUGUCAAUAGUCAUCCUUGAGCUUCAGCCAAUAUCAUGUCCUCACCCGCCGUCAUCGUUAAGUUGCUGCUGUUCUUGGACCAUACAAAUGAUUAGAGGAGUAAAAUUUGUGUAAAAGAAAAGUUAAAAUGAGAACAAUACUCACUGUGCUUAUAAGUUGGAUUUGGCCAAGGCCUAUGAUAGGGUCGAUUGGAACUUUCUUGAGGGGGUCCUUCGGAAGACAGGUUUUGAUCAAAAGUGGAUUAAUUGGGUAAUGCAAUGUGUCAGAUCAGUUAGAUAUUCGGUGAGAUGCAAUGGUGAAUUGCUGUCACCGUUCAUCCCGUCUAGGGGAUUGCGGCAGGGUGACCCAUUAAGCCCGUACUUGUUUCUCUUUGUUGCGGAUAGCCUGGUCGGCCUCAUAAACAAGGAGAUUGAGUCUGGAAACCUGAGCCCUAUUAAAAUUGCUAGAAACAGCCCAGGCAUAUCGAACCUUCUGUUUGCGGAUGACAGUUUGCUGUUCUUCAAGGCUACUCUUGAGCAAGCCAGGACUAUCAAGAAGGUGCUGUCCACUUUCCAGAAGUGCACCGGACAACUGCUGAGCGAGAGCAAAUGUUCGCUGUUAUUUAGUGAAGCUUGCCCGGAAGAGGUCAGAAACCAAAUCAAAAACUGCCUGGGAGUUGUGGCAUCAACUUUUGAAAGUAAGUACUUGGGAUUGCCAACACCGGAAGGGAGAAUGAAGGAUGAAAACUUUCAGCCAAUUACGGAUAAGUGUGGGAAGAGAUGCAAUGACUACUUUGAAAAAUUUAUGUCAUACGCGGCAAAGGAAGUGCAUGUCAAAUCUGUGGUGCAGUCUCUCCCUUGCUUUACCAUGGGCGUUUUCCUCCUGUCCAAAGGGUUCUGUGAGAAAUAUGAGAAAAUGGUGAGAGACUUCUGGUGGGGGGACGAGGUUGGACAUAGAAAAGUUUACUGGAUGUCGUGGGAUCACAUGACGAGACCCAAGCGAGCAGGAGGCAUUGGUUUCAGAGAUAGGCACCUAUUUAACUUACCCCUUCUUGCUAAACAAGGGUGGAGACUGCUGCAGAACCUGGACAGCCUGUGUGCAAGGGUAAUUAAAUCUAAGUACUACCCACACGGGAAUUUGAUUGACACUGUCUUUGCAGCGGAUGCGUCUCCAGUCUGGAGGGGUAUAGAAGCAGCGCUUGAACUCCUCAAGAAGGGCAUAAUUUGGAGAGUAGGAGAUGGAAAGAACAUACAAAUACAAAGGGACCAGUGGAUCCCUCGGAAAGAGGGCCUUCGGACGGCAGCCUUCAUUAGGCGAUCGAGAUUGAGAUGGGUGAACCAGUUAAUGCACUCGGACAGGAAGGAAUGGGAUACAAAGCUUAUUCGGCAGAUUUUUCAUAGUUUUGAUGCGGAGGAAAUUAUAAAGAUUAACAUCCCUAGUACGGACACAAAGGAUCAUAUCGCCUGGCACCAUGAGAGAAAUGGAGUGUUUUCGGUGAGAAGUGCAUAUAAGCUAGCUGCCUCGCUAAAAACACAUGCUGCACAAGAACCCUCGAGCUCUUCAGGUGAGGUGCAGGACCGGAGCAUCUGGGACAGCAUAUGGAAGGCAAAAGUCCCACCGAAAGUCAAAAUAUUUGGAUGGAGGGUUGCAACUAACUCACUUGCAACAAAAAGGAAUAAAUUCAGAAGAACACUUGAGUUAGAUGCUAUUUGUAAUAUAUGUGGCGUCGAUGAGGAGGAUGAGUUCCAUGCCGUACUGAAAUGCACAAAAAGCAUAGCCCUGAGAGAGGCGCUAAGGAAAGUUUGGGACCUUCCUCCUGAGGUUGCAUUCUGCCGUACGGGUCCGGAUUGGCUUCAGAUGUUACUAUGCCCUGAAACUGAAGAAGUUAGAGCAAGAAUUCUCAUGAUGCUUUGGAGAAGCUGGCAUUUGCGUGAUGAUAUUGUGCAUGGGAACGGGAGAGAGACCAUUAAAAAAUCUGUUAUGUUCCUACUGCAGUAUUUUUUUUGAAACAAGGCAAAAGAUUUGCCAUUUUCAUUGGUUAAGAGAGAAGUUUUAACAGGAACCCGCAAGGCGGGAGAAUGGAGUCUACUCUCGCGGCAUUACAUUACAGAGGUGUCUAGCGCCUGCAAGCGCCCAAAUACGAGCCUCCUCCUUUAUCCUAGCAGUGACCAUGGUCACCGUGGUAGCGACAUUCCUAAAAACUCUUGCAUUGCGCUCAUUCCAGAGUUCCCAGGAAACAAGCAUGAGCAUGGAGGCCAGAGCCUUCCUCGGGGGCCCCCUAUCUAGAAUAGUCUUGAACCACCAUUCCUUUACAGAAAUUUCGUAACGCCAGCCCGCAGUGAUAGCACUGUUUAUGCCGAUCCAUGAAGCCACAUUAGCCCAAACGCAUUGGGAAAAUCUGCAUUGGAAUAGGAGAUGUGGUGUAGAUUCAGUAACUUGCUUGCAUAAAGGGCAAAGCCCACAAUUGGGCCAGCCCCGACGCUGCAGCCUGUCCGCUGUCCAAACACGAUUCUGGAUGACGAGCCAAGCAAAAAACUUGCACUUAGGAGGAGCCCAAGCUUUCUAAACGGACAUGUUCAUGUUGCUCCUGAGAUGGCCCUCGAACUGCGCCAUGUAGGCCGAAGAAGAGGAAUACUCGCCACUUGUAGUGAGCUUCCAUAGGAUAGUAUCACGGACACCCGCAACAAGGUUGAUCGUAGACACCCUUUCCCAAAGGAGGGCGAACUCCUGGAUGUGCCCCAAGGAUAGGCCGUGCUGGGUGUUUAUUUGGCUGACCCAGAAAUUGUUCAGGAGUGCCUUUUGGACUGUGCACGUCUUUUUCUUAGAGAUGUCGUAGAGAGCGGGUGCAAUGUCUUUCGGCCUGAUCCCAUCCAGCCAAGAGGAGUUCCAGAAGCUCGCGCUGCAACCGUCUCCGAUGUGAACCAUGGUGGCAGCCGCAAAAAUGUCUCUGUCCUUGUCAGUACAUGGUGUUCCAGUGCCUAGCCAAAGCUUAGGGGGAUCUGCCCAUUCAUACCAAAGCCAACGAAGACGCAAGGCGGUUGCAAAAUUCUCGAGGUUGAGCACUCCUAGCCCACCAUAAAUCCUUCGCUUACACACAAGUUCCCAAUUAACUUUGCAUUUUCCUCCCGUGACCUUGUCACAACCUGCCCACAGAUAUGCACGUCUCAAACUAUCAAUCUUCUUCCUCACCUCCACCGGUAAAUCAAGGGGCGUCAGAUGGUAGAUUGCAAUGGCCGUGAGCACCGCCUUGACGAGGACAAUACGACCAGGGGUGGCCACGUGCUUGGCCGCCCAUGGCGGGAGCUUGCCGGCGACCUUGUCCUCUAAAUAUUGGAAAUGUAUCCUUUUGAGUCUUCUAACUGAGAGGGGCAGCCCCAAAUAUCGCACUGGGAAGCCGGAGCAAACUGCUGGAAAGUCAUGUAGAACAUCCUGAAGGUUGAUGCCCUCGCAACGGAUAGGCGCAACGAGACUCUUUGCACAAUUGGUGACCAAGCCAGUGACCUCCCCAAAAGAGGCCAAUGUCGACGCCAAGAAUUGAAUAUCACUUUUAAUGGGUGCAACGAAGAUGGCAGCAUCAUCGGCGUACAAGGACGCACGGAUCGGUCUUCCUCUGAGCGGAUGCAAGCUCCCUUGGGCCGUGGCUUUGGCAAGUAUGUGGUGUAGGGGGUCAAUAGCAAGGACAAAGAGGAGCGGCGAGAGCGGGUCCCCUUGCCGAAGGCCUUGUCCAUGUCUGAUCGGGUCGCCGGGAAUGCCGUUAAGUAGCACACGGGAGGAGGCUGUGGAGAGGAGCGUCGAAAUCCAAUCACGGAAGUGACUUGGGAAGCCCAGGUGUCGAAGCAAAUCCAUUAAAUAGUUCCAUCUAACCGAAUCGAAGGCCUUUUUGAUAUCGAGCUUGAAAAGGAGGGUAGGGGAUUUCGUGCGGUGAAAGCGUCUGGCCAAGUUUCUGACAUACAUAAAGUUGUCGUGGAUGCUUCUCUUUUUGAUGAAAGCACUUUGUGCAUUGGAUACUAGGUUGGGCAUGUGAGGGGCUAAGCGAGAGGCCAUCAUUUUAGCGAUGAUUUUGGCAACCGCAUUAAUGAGGCUAAUUGGUCUGAAAUCCGAAAUGUCCUCGGCGCCGUCUUUUUUUGGGAUAAGGGCGAUGUUCGCUGAGUUGAGCCAUGUGAAGCUGGAGGCGCGCAGGUUGGAGAAGCCAUUGACAACAGCCAUCAGAUCCUGCUUGAUGAUGUCCCAACAUUCCUUGAAAAAAAUACCGGUGAAGCCAUCCGGUCCGGGUGCCUUGUCACUUGGUAGGGAGAAAAUAGCCGCUUUAGUUUCCUCUUCAGUGAAUGGCAGGUCCAGAUCCACAAGGUCACAUGGCUGGGUUGGAAUGGCCUCCCAGUUGAAAUCUUUUGACCGUGCCUGCCCCUUACGAAUGACCGUGGAGAAGUGCUCAUGGACAAUGGCUUUCUUGUCAUCAUGAUUGGUAACCCAUCCUUGGUUGUGCCGGAGACGAUGGAUAAAGUUUUUCCGUCUCCGCCGAUUGAUUCGGAGAUGGAAAAAACGCGUAUUAGCAUCUCCCUCUUUAAGCAAGGUUAUCCUUGAGGAUUGCUUUUUUCUAGCUCGCUCUAGGACAGCCAGAGCGACAACCUUCCGCUUGAGCUGUUUCCUUAUAUCUUGCUCGUCGUUGCUCAAGGCCCGAAUUUCUUGUGCCAUGUCCAAGCGCAGGAUGACCUCGAGAGCCAUGUGGAGUUGGACUUUAUGGUGAGAGAAGAGCUUCCUACUCCAGCACUAUGAGGACGACAUGGCAAGGGCAUCCUUGACACAAGGCUCUGAGUCAGGAAAGGAUCUAUGGCCCCUGGCCAUUAAAAUGCCGCAUGCUACCGCAUCGGAGUGUAGACAGUGGUCUGCUCCGACAGAAGGAACCAUCAAAAUUAACUCCGAUGCGUCCUACUUGCCUGACACAGGAAAUUGUUGGGCGGGAGCUCUUGCUAGGAACUACAGGGGGCAGAUCAUGUUGUGCAUAGGGAAACAGAUGCUCACAUCGAAUAGUGUGGAAGAGGCGGAGGCCAAGGCCGCCCUGUGUGGGCUGCAAACGUUGGCGUCAAUAUAUACAGGUCCUGUAGAGGUGGAACUGGACUGCCGAUCAGUUAUCAAGGAACUGUCAGCUGCUGGUCCUAGCCUGUCUCCCUGCUAUGCUGUGAUUCAGGACAUCAAGGCGACCCUGUGCCAGUUUGCGUCGCACAAACUAUCUUUUGCUGGGCGGGAGUGCAACAAACUAGCGCAUGAACUAGCCACAGAAGCAAGGAAGGUGGGAGAUCUGCAUAUUGUCGGCGGAGUUCCAGAAAGACUGCGUGCAAUGAUGCUUAAGGAGUGUAGCACCCAUCCUGAGUAAUUAUUAUUCAGGUUUCUCAAAAAAAAAGAGUAGUCUUCGCUAUGUGAAUUUCAUUUUAACAGCAAACUUGGGAUCAGUCAUUUGCCUAGUUGCACGGUCUGAAACCUAAAGUGAAAACUUUGGUAAGAAUUUUCUCCUGCAAACUGAAUGAGGUCGUAUUGGGCCUGGAACCUACAGGGUAUACUUCGGUAAAAUGCUAGUGACGUAAUUUAUCUGAAGGUCCAGCGGUAAGAGAAACUCUAAUGGGGCGACCCAUUUCGCCCGGCGCCGUCCGUUUGGUCGGCGCCGACAGAAAAGUCGGCCCAACGCGCUGACCCAAACGGACGCGCGUCCGCUUUUCAUCCGCGGACGACCCAUUCCCGGCCUAUUUUUUGAGCCAGAUUUGCGUCGGCGCGGACAUGCGACGGACGCGCGCACGCUCGCCUUCUCCUCUCCCCGGGCCCGCUGGUCGGUGGCUUAUUGGCCUCCCCCAUCCCCCAGCCAACAACAACCCUCGCCCGCCUCCUUUGUCAUCGACGCCGCCGCCCUUUUUUGCCGGCGACUCUGCCAGCCGCCGCCGCCUCCACAUCCGCCCAACAACGCCGCUCAUUCCCCCCGUUGCCCCGCCACCGCCGUCUUGCCGCCGGGGAGCAAACUGUUUCCCACCGCCACUCCCCCAACCGCACAGCCGCUCGCGACCAAGAGGCCGCCUCGCCGCCCCGGCCAGAUCCUCACCGGCACGCUCGUUGGACGCCGGCCCACUCGUCGGACGUCGGCAGGGCAGCUAGCUGGUCCGUGCACGCCGCGACUCCCCUCGCCGGCCGUCUCCUUCUUCGACGCCCGCAAGCUGUUCGACGGUUUGCCAAGGUACGAAAAUGGACUCCGCCGAUGAGUUCUUUUUCCACAAUUUCCUUUGCGACUCCGACAAUUCGUCGUCCGACGACGAGGAGGAGAUAUUGGCUGCCGUGUUGGUCCAUCACCACCUCAACAGCCAUCGGCCGUUGUUUCGUGGCUCCAUUUUGGGCCACCUUCCGGCGUUGAAUCGCAACCGAGAGAGCGGGCAUUUCCUUCUUUGGAAUGACUACUUUGAUACAACAAAUCCAUUGUUCAAACAUCAAAAAUUCCGCCGCCGUUUCCGUAUGAGUAGGCAUCUUUUCAACCGUAUUAGAGAGGGGGUGGUCGGCUAUGAUGACUAUUUCGAGUGCAAAGAGGUGCCGUCGGCAAGAUCGGUUUCUCCUCUUAUCAGAAAUGCACUGCCGCCAUCCGAAUGCUUGCAUACGGAGUGCCCGGUGAUCUCAUUGACGAGUACGUCCGUAUGAGUGAGUCUACAUGCCUAGAGUCCCUGUAUAAAUUCUGCAAGGCUGUUAUUGCUGUGUUUGGCCCUGAGUAUUUGAGAGAGCCGACAGCUGAAGAUACAGCCCGUUUGUUGGCGACGAAUGCCAGAAGGGGCUUUCCAGGGAUGCUUGGCAGCAUAGAUUGAAUGCACUGGGAGUGGAAGAACCGUCCUUCUGCUUGGCAAGGGCAGUAUAAGGGACAUGUCAGGGCUUGCACUGUCAUAUUAGAGGCCGUGUCGUCCCAAGAUCUCUGGAUCUGGCACUCAUUCUUUGGCAUGCUGGAUCACACAAUGAUAUCAACGUGCUUCAGCGCUCGCCGGUGUUUGCUAGGCUUGCCGAAGGCAACAGCCCACCGGUGAACUUUACUAUCAACGGACACAACUACGACAAAGGAUACUACCUGGGUGACGGUCCUCAGUGGACCACUAUUGUCAAGACAAUACCCAACCCUGUCAGAGAGAAGAGGAAAAGAUUUGCCCAGGAGCAAGAGAGUGCCAGGAAGGAUGUCGAGCGUGCCUUUGGUGUUUUGCAAUCUCGAUGGGGCAUCGUUCGGUAUCCUGCUAAUAUCUGGAGCACGCAUAAACUAUGGGAGGUGAUGACUGCUUGUGUGAUCAUGCACAAUAUAAUCGUAGAAGACGAGCGCCCGGAACGUCUGUACAAUCAAGGGUUUCAGUUUCAGGGUGAGAAUGUUGUGCCUGAGCAUAGAGUAGCGGCAACAUUUGAACAGUUCACCCAAUUUUAUGAAGACAUGCGUGAUUGGGAAACUCACGUGCAACUGCAAAAUGAUUUGGUUGAGCAUAUGUGGGCUCAUGUUGGCAACCAAUAGAUGUAUCUUUUUUUAUUCGUUUGAAAGACUAUGUGACACAUUUUUAUUUGUAUCCGGCUUGUAAAACUAUAAUAUUUUUAUUCGAUAAAACUAUGUUAUUGACAAUAUGUUUGAAUGCAAAUCAAUGUAAAUAUUAGGCGGCCAGCCGGCCACGCCGGCACAUAUGGGUCGGCGCGUUGAACGCGCUGCCGACCCAAAUCUAAAAGAGGGCGGACGCAGGGCGGGCGGCCGACCCAAACGGACAAAAAACGGACGAAAUCGCCGUCCGUUUGGGUCGGCCCGUUGGAGUUGCUCUAACAAAGUGGUAAGAUGCUUCUACAGGUUUUUAGUGUGUAGUGAGUAGUCUAGGUAAUCAUACAAUUAUGGAGGACUGGAAUUUUUAUAUAUUUUUUAGGGAUUUAGAAUUUAUUUUCUAUGAGGUUGUUUGGUUUUGUAGGACUAUACCCAUAGAAACUUUUCCUAAUGAUUGUACAUUCGUACUACACUUUUCAUAAGAAUUUUUUAAUUGACUCGAACUUCUUGGGAUCAUCCUUUGUUUCUCUGACGAUGUAAAUUCAAUCAUUGGGGCAAUUUCAAUCAUGCAAGAUAUAAGUGGACAUGUCGUCACAAUCCUACAUUCUCUAUUUCAGCGUUUUUGGAAUGCUGUGAGUCAAAUGAGCCCCUAGAUUCAGUAUAUUUUUUGCGAUUCCAAAGAUUUUUCUCAACAAUAGUAUAAGUUAUUUCUGAAUGAUCUGCAAAAGGAAACACAUAAAUUAGACAGACCAACGCGUAAGUUUCUGCAAAGUCCCUCAGAUUUGAUUAAAGCAAAAUUAUGUUUUUGUCCCUUGACUGCUGACACGAUUUGGUUGUGAGACUCAAAACAACAAAAUUUUGAAUAAUAUAGUACAUUUUCUCAAUACAACCUAUUAGUUUGUAUUACAGUUGAGCAUAUAGGUUGUAUUUCUUAAUAGGCACUAGAGGAAACACAUAAAUUAGACAGAUCAAUGCAUAAGUUUCUAUAAAGUCCCUCAGAUUUGAUUAAAGCAAAAUUAUGUUUUUGUCCCUUGACUGCUACGAUUUGGUCGUGAGACUUAAAGUCAACAAAAUUUUGAAUAAUAUAGUACUUUUUCUCAAUACAACCUAUUAGUUUGUAUUACAGUAUAUUUACGAAAUCGGAUUUUGUUUAUAUUGUGGAAGCAUGUUUCGCAUUUUCUCAUUGAUUUGUAAAUAUUAGUAGUCAGCAUUUUAAAAUGUGUCUUUAGUCUCACCUAAAACCUCAACUUCAGAUGAUCAGAUGGAAGAUUUAUAUUACAUUUCCUGAUUUUUCUGUGUCUUAUCUGAUUUUCCAUACUGACUAAAAUCUAUAAGGUCGGGCUUUGUACACGUCAAACGUCGAACAAUGUCCAUACUGAUCUCUAUACCUAUUAUGGUGCUCUGCAAAGAAGAUCAUGCCCAUACGACCACAUUCAUAUACAAUUACAUAAUACCCCGCGCGUUGUUGCGGAAAUUUAUAGCAAUAAAUUAUCAAUAAAUAAAUUAAAAUAUAUGAGUAAUACUGCACCACAUUCAUGCCAUAUGAACGGUGAAAAAUAUACAGGUAAUUGAAGGAUGUAUGCAUGUUAUAUUGCCUUGUGACAUUCAAGUUCUUUUUUGUUGAAAAUUAAAAAGGAAAUCGAUGAUAUGGAGGACUUGCAUGUGUUUGACAAUGUGGAGACUUGCAUGUGGUAGAAAGUGGACAUUGAAGUUCGAUUAUUUGUUGCUGAAAAAUGAAAUAAAAAUUGAUGAUGUGGGAGGGAUUGCAUGUGCUUGAUUAUGUGGAGGGCUUGCAUAUAAUGGAAAGUGAAAAGUGAAAGGGUUACAUGCAUUUGAUGAUGUACAUUAAAAUGGGAUCACUUACAUAAAUACUAUAGGAUAGGCUGUGUAUCCAUAUGCCGUGGCUUCACUAAAUGUACAAAUAAUAUCAUAAAAAAGGGAAAAAAAUAUGAUAACUCUUUUGAUACAACAACGCAACAUAUAUUAUGACUAGGAAAGUUAGAGUUUACAAUUAUAUAUGUAAUGGAUCUUUGACAGCUCAUAUGUUAUGUGGAACAAAUAUCAUUUACUUAAUUAUAUAUUUAACUACUAAUCGGGAACCAUGAGCAAGAAAUUAUACUCAUACCUAACNNNNNNNNNNNNNNNNNNNNNNNNNNNNNNNNNNNNNNNNNNNNNNNNNNNNNNNNNNNNNNNNNNNNNNNNNNNNNNNNNNNNNNNNNNNNNNNNNNNNNNNNNNNNNNNNNNNNNNNNNNNNNNNNNNNNNNNNNNNNNNNNNNNNNNNNNNNNNNNNNNNNNNNNNNNNNNNNNNNNNNNNNNNNNNNNNNNNNNNNNNNNNNNNNNNNNNNNNNNNNNNNNNNNNNNNNNNNNNNNNNNNNNNNNNNNNNNNNNGGAUAUCACGUGUGAUUGCAAUCUUCUUCGUAUAAAGGUUCUUAUUAAAGGGCAACUUAUGAGAGAUUCAAAUUUGACAGUCAAAAUCUACACUCAAGCACUAGUUUAUGAGAGACAAAAUAUGGCAUUUCCUAGUAUAAGAAAAAAUGGAUUACUUCAAACACAUGACCACUAGAACAGUGGCACUCAGCCUUGCUUAUGUCACCCUUGGGUACCCGAGCAGGAAAUGAGCCACACAUCACACGUGCUUUCUGAGGCCUACCCACCCUCCUCUAUUCCGUUCAACUAGACCGGUAACGCGCCUUGGCGCGAGGGUGCCGGACCCAAUGAUAUUGUAAGCCAUGGAAGAUCAAACGACAUGAUGCAUUAGUAUGAAGGCAAGUUUAACACAUGUAACAACGCAACCGAUUAUAGUGUUAAAGGGUAAGAAGAAACAUUUACUCUGUCCAGAAGAAUAACAUCAUUGAGUUCAACAGGCUCAUGAGAUUAUAAAAGCUGAAAGCAAGGUAGCAUCCAAUUUAGCACAUGAGAUUAGGAAAUGUUAAUCUCCAAAUUCCAGAACCAUUCAUCAUCAACAACAUAAUAGAAUUAAAAUAGGAAAACUUUACAUAUAGACCAUUUUAUUAUUUAUAAGAGAUACACAGAGUAAGUAGUCCCAUAUCAGAACAUUCAGUAGCGUGACAAAAUAAAAGGAGAUGCCUGUACAUAUCAGAAUUGAGAUUCUCCAAAUCCCAAAUCUCGGUCAUGAAAUAUAUUCUUUAUCAGAAUUUGAAGUACCACAAUGGCCUAAUAAUCACUGUCAAUGUAAGGUACUGCAUGCUUUUCUUUCGCUUCAUAUUGAACAGAAUUUCUCUAUUAAAUAAUCAUAGUUGAUAUCAAUGUCCAACCUUGAAAACCACUGCAUUAGUAACUCGAUGCAUUCGUUUUGUCUUCACUUUGUCAUAGUAGACACAUUUAUUGCCCCAUUCUGAUUUUAAAACUCUGCUGCACAAGUUAAUAUCAUGACAAUAUAAGUGCCAAAGAUAAUGAAAAUGUUUGUUAUACGCUGUUUCUGAUUAAAGAGAAACAUCAAGCAUCUAGCAUAAUUUUACGAUUGAAGAGAAACAUCAAGCAUCUAGCCGGACAGGGCAUCUUAUAAUAAAUGGAUCAUUGGCUAUCCUUGAUUGGCAAACUAACUCGAUAUCUCCAGGAAAAGAACCUGUCAUGACACAUUAUGCACUAAAAAGGCAAAAGGCGACCAUAUAGGGUACAUAAUGUUUGCAGUCCAUCGGCUUUACCAAACACUAAAAAGGGGUGAGCAUAAAUACACCUCGCUAAUCCCAUGGAGGCACAUUUCACAAAAAAUCAAGAAAUGAAAAUAGGGCAAAUUCGAAAGUGGAAACUCGUACGACAUAGUAAGGAGUAAACACAUAAACAGAGCAAGCAUUUAAGCACACUUAUUCACACCUUGCCUGAUUCAGUGCUAUACCAGUUCUCACGAAAGCAAAUUCACCCUAUACACUGCGUCUAUCAUUAAGUAGAGAAGAAGAUCAUAAAGAAACAAAAUAAAGGCAUGCACCUGCAUCAUAUCCCGCCUUGUAUUGAUAUAUGAAUAUGAAAGCCUCCAAUAAUUAAAGAAUACACAUGCUUGCCCUAUCCAACCUCGUGGUCCAGCGCUAAGGCCACUGCACAACAAAGACAACAAGAUAUUGAUUUGUAUAACCUAAAUAAUAGUAGUAGAAAACAUUACCUAAAUACAUAUCCUUCUUAUUAUCAAUCAAAAGUACUUGAAACUAAAAUUACAGAAGAACAUUUAUCUCCUAAGAGUGUAACCUAACCACAUGCUGAAGCAAACUGUCAUAAUUUUUGGAAGUUUCAUCAUUUUCCAAACUUAUCAUUUUCUCCUCUCAUCUCAAAACUAUCAUAAAUCCAUAUCUUCAGUCUAAAAUGGUCAACUUUCUUCAUAAAGCAAUCAACCAAAACAAGUACUACCUUUGUAACUAAAUACAAUACGUUUUUGCUGUUCAAAUUGAAAUACAAAGACGUUUUAUAUUUGGUUACGGAGGGAGUAUCUUUUAAGCAUGAGUAUAGAUACGACAUCAGAAGCUCUGUAACAGAACAAACAUGGGAAUGUUUCAAGAACUAUCAAGACUAAACAGCAAACACGAGUUGUGUGCAGAUUGUAGAUCUUGUAAAGUAUAACAUCCAGAUGAAAAAUCAAAAUUACUAUGUGGUACAUCAUGAGUUGUUAAGAAAAUAAAGAUGUGGUCCAAAAAUCCAGAAGAUUUCUCUCUGAACCUACAAAACUCACUUUGUUGCAAUUACAAACGUAAAGAAUAAUAAAGUAUCUUAGAAGAAAAAUACUAAACAUGAUCCAGACGAUACAGAAGUAAAUCAUCCCACCCUAAUUGCCAAAGCAAAUGUCGAUUUACUAACCACACGCUAAAUGAACAAACAUAAGCGUCUGUGAAACCAUUGACCUGAGCGGUGGUGCUUCCAUGGGCCAGCCUAGUGAACAAUCGACAAUGGAGGAGAAGCAUAUGAUGUACCGUUGGGCAGUACAGAGACAACAUGGGGAGGUCCAGGAUGAAGGCGACGAACGCCGAUGGUGUUGCUUUCACCUGGUGGAGGGAAGUAGAGGACAUGGACAAUGGUAAAUAUUUAGACUCAAAGCAUGAAAAAAAACAUCACAUGCUCCAGAAAUGCAUAGAAAAUAAUGUCUGAAGCCUUCACAAAACAACUUUUGUAAAAGCAUAUGCAUUGGCUUGAUAAAUCCAAUAUUAGAUGCAGAAUGUUAAACUCAAUUUGAUCAUUAGUGUAAUCAGACAGAAUUGUAUGGCAUGCACUGCAGGCAUCACAUUAAGAUCAUUUAAUAAAUUUGUAUCUGGAAGUAACUUAAAAGUCCAGCACAGUGCAGGCUUUUUUUGUACAAAAUGAUUAUAAGUUGAGACUGAAAGAUUUUAUUUUUUUAUAAUACACACAAGCAUGUAUAUAAUUAUAGAAGCGUCCGUCCACGUCAUUACGAUACAACAAGCGACGACAGUCCACCACUAAGUGCCGCUACGGUGGCUGCUCAGGCACACUCCACCUAAACAACCACCCAAAAUGAUCACUGAAAUCCCAAUUCAGCAGCCCAGCCAAUGGCAUGCUUUGGCUCAACUACUCAAAGGGUUCACCAGAUUAGAUAUGUUUAAUUCAGUGUCGAAGUAGAAUAUCUUAGCUAAGCGACACAAAAAAUUACAUAACACGAUAUGUUUAGUUCUGCAAACUCAGUCCAUCAACACAUCACUGAUAGCAGCAGUCCUAAAGGCAAGAACAAAUACCAAUGUUUUCAACUUGAUGUUGUAUACGGAAAAUGACUUGAUUUGCCAGUGUUCGGACAUCAAUAACUCGAUAGUCCAAGUGUGUGUCCUGACCAACAUGGACAAGUGGCACUCCCUUCUGCAAAACAACAAGUUACCAUUAGCUGAACCCAGAUAUCAUCAUCGGAGAUUGGAGCAACAAUCUGUAUCCUCCUCCUUUAUGCAUUCAAAGAAGAGGCAAGCAAAUACGCAGAUUGUGUAGAUUGACAUACUGAUUCAGCUAUUGCAAACUCCUUAGCACUCCGUCCGGCGUCCUCCAUGCUGAUUGGUAGCUUCGGGUCAGCCCUGUUGUUGCAGUAGAGCUUCCUGACCUGAAUAUCCACCUGCCAGCCAUCAAAUGAAAUUACAAAUAACUACUAUGGUGUGUAUGUCAGCCCACAAUUCGAACAGUCAACAGACAGAGGGGACCUGCAACGAAACGAGAUCUCAAACUUAUAAAAGACGGGUAAACAAACGGAACCAUCUCCCUCUCUGCCUCCUCCUCAUCUUCCUGGCACUCACAGGCUGCGGCGUACAAGCAAGAGAAGGCGAGGGAGUGGGCUGACCUCAGAUCCUCUCAUCCAUCCCUGUAGCGGGCCUCGUCGGCGAGGACGGCUCGUCGAGGAACUCGGGCUCCUUGUCGCCGGUGGCCAUGUUCCCGGCCUUCUUGGUCGGCUGCGCCAUGCGCCUCUUGGUCGUCGCCGCCGCGUGCCCCUCCUCCUUCUGCUGCUCCAUGGAGGCGGCUGUCUCCUCGUCCUCCCCGAGCGCAAGCUCCUCCUCGGCGACGGGGACGGGGCAGGGAGGUGGUCUAGGGUUUGGAAGGAGAGAGAGAGAGGUGAGGCGGGAGGAAGAGGAGAGGGGCGGUGUGAGGUCGUGGAUGGGUGCCCGAGUGAGCGGCGGCGGCGGGGCAGGGAGGCGGCGCGGGUUAGGGUUUCGAGGGAGAGAGGGAGGCGGCGUGGGAGGAAGAGAAGGAGCGGCGCGAGUGAGAGAGGAGCGACAGCUAGGGCAUCUCCACAGGAGCGGGCCACUUUUAUACCGCAGGACGCGAAAUGACGAAACUGCCCUUCGGGGGGCGCUGGAAUUACCCGCGGUGGCACGAUUGUUGCUGUACUAUUCAUUGUAGAAGUGUCCGGUCGGAUCCAACGGCCGAGGUGAUCCGGUGGCAAGAUCAGACGGCCCAAAACGCAUCAAGAAACCGAUCCGACGGUCGAGAUUCGCUGAGCUCUGAGAAUGCUCAUGUUCUCCCAACUAACAUAGUAGUCUCACACGUGCACCCGAGGACCCCAUGCACCGUUUACCGAACGCGUGUCAAAGUACGGAUUUGUUUCCGUGCAAAAGAAAAGUACGGAAUUGUUCCUGAAGAAGUAUAUAUAUACCCCUACAUUCUAUCGUGUUGGAUUACAUGACCGUCUCCUCGGAAAAAAAUCAUUACAUGACCAUUUGUUAUGUACUCUCUCCGUUUCUAAAUAUUUGUCUUUCUAGAGAUUUCAACAAAUGACUAAUAUACGGAGCAAAAUGAGUGAAUCUACACUUUAAAAUAUGUCUAUAUACAUUCGUACGUGAUAGUUCAUUUAAAAUCUCUAAAAAGACAAAUAUUUAAAAACGAAGGGAGUAAUUUCUAACUGACGAAACUGUCCGGCCUAUGCAGAGAUCCAUCCAUGCAUUCCUAAUUUCCCACAUAUCUUUCUUUUUCUGUGAAAAGCAUUUCUGUAUAUACGAUAGUUAACACAACGUCUACUUAAUCAUACUACCUGUAAAUGUGUGCUCUUUUUAUUUCCUACUAUGAUCUGAAGAUUGCUCACCAAAACUUCCAAAUUCAAAUGAGUGCUAUUGGCGUUAUGAGAAAUCGUAAAUAUCUGGGUUCUCCUUGAUCCGAAUAACACAAAAUUACACAAAACCUUAUAUAUAUUACUUAAAAAAGAGUAGUGUUCCUUUUCCUGCAAGCAAAACGCUUCGUCAACUGGUUCUCCUUCUUCUCACCAUGUCCCUUCGCCGAUUUUUUCCAUCCAACCGGUUUUUAGUCUCACUACACAUAUUUUCCGAACCUUCCCAUACGCUAAUCAAUCAUCUUGAUUUACUUAGCUUUUGCAUCAUUUUCACCUUAAUUUACUUACCAAACAUUUAUUUACACAAUCAUUCUCAUCCGCUGCAGCAUCCGCACAAUAUGGGUCAUCGCCUAGCACUGCCCAAAGGAGCGUGCUGCGUGAGCGUCAUGAUGCAACCGGUGCGUGACUGGCCGGUUGGCCAUCGUGAAUCAUUAGGUUUUCUGAAUUCAUUGGGAUAAAUCACUCCAUAGCACAAUCAUAAACUCAUAUGAAUUGUUCUAAAAAUAUAUAUACUCAUAUGAUUUUUUCCAAGAGGUACAAGUUAAAUGAUUUUUUAGAUAGUGUAGAUGCCUAGAAGGUAGAGAAGAUCUGCUGACGUUCUAUCAAGAUCUUUUGUAUGAAAGGAUCUCAAAAUAUAUGGUGGCACGCAGAAUGUAUUUAUAACACGAGUGCUAUGUGGCCUUCCUACCCUCUCUAUAGAAUGACACUACUAUAUUUACUUUCCCACUAAUAAUUAUCGGUCCGUUGCAGCGGGAAUACAACUAUUUACUAGCAUGCAAUCACUGUGAUUUACAUGCCAUCUUAUUGUUGGUGUAAUUAUGCACCGAAAAUAUAUUUUAGCUGUCAACUAAAUCAACUUAUUAACCUACCAAAUAAAACAUAAUUUUAUUAUCCAGCUAAAAAAACAUAGUAGUUUUAUUUAGUACAGUAAGUCAUCAAUAAAAUAAGGUAAAUGGAACUUUUCGUUUCUUUUUUUAAGCAUAUGGAACUUUACGUAUCUACUACUUGCAAACUUGAAAUUCUUAUAUGGGGAGAUGCUUGCAAACUUGAAAUUCUUAUAUGGGUAAUAUAGAAGCCCAAGACAAGGAUGUUUGGAAAAUGUAUCAUCUUUUCGUCAGCUUUGACUCUGGGCAAUGGGCAUGACCUCCGGCGGCCUCAUAGACUCGUCGUAGGUGGUACAGUUAUAUAAAGCGCCGUUGCCCACUCGUGUCGACACGACUGUCGCGGCUGCGGUCUCGCGGGCUUCCACUCCUUCACCUCACCAACCACACUCCUCUCGUCUCCUCUCCUCCGGGAGGUCCACGCCCGCCCACAAUCCCCGCCCCCGGCCUCCCCUCCGACCACCUCCCGCAUCCCCCGCCAUGGCGUUUUCCACCCCCAACGCCCUCUCCGCUUCCGGCCCCGCCUCCCCGUUCCACCUCCGCCUCCAGCCGCAGCCCUUCCUCCGCCUCCCCGCCCUCCCCUUCCACCGCUCCCUCCCGCUCCACCUCCCCUCCCUCCGCCUCACCCGGCCCCUCCUCCCUCCCCUCCCGCUCGCCUCCUCGGGCGGCGGCAGCAACAUCGGCUCCGGCGGCGGUGGCGGCGGCGGCGAUGACGACCUCCCCUCCGGCGGCGGAGGAGACGAGGACGAGGACGAGGGCGAGGGCAGCGACGACGCGGCGGUCAACAGGAGGGAGGCGCUGUUCGUGCUGGCGCAGCUGGGGCGGAAGCUCGAGAGCCUUCCCGCGGACAUGGCCGCGGCCGUGGAAGGCGGGCGCCUCCCCGGCGAGAUCGUGCGCCGGUUCGCCGAUCUCGAGAAGUCGCCCAUGUUCCGCUGGCUGCUCCAGUUCGGCGGCUUCAGGGAGCGCCUCCUCGCCGACGACCUCUUCCUCGCCAAGGUCGCCAUGGAGUGCGGCGUCGGCAUCUUCACCAAGGUCCGUGUGAAAAUGAAGCCCACUCCGUAUAUUUUCCCACACAGUAGCAUCUCCUUUCUGUGGUUUGCGCUUCAGAUCGUCAGAUGUGGCUUCACUGUAGAAGUUUCUGUGGUCUAGAGUUCAAAGGCCCAACUCUGAUGUGUGUAGUAGAUUGUCGUACGAGUCGGGCUUUGGCUCGAUGGCGAUGCGUGCCCGACUCUGGCUUCUUGUCGACGUCGCUUCAGGGUUGUCGGGGGCGUUGUUUGGACGAGCGCUUCGGCCUUCGGUGAGAAAUGGGGCGCGCGGGAAUAUUUCUCUGCUGUGACAAGAUGCCGAUUCUUCACUAAAUCGGAUGUUAUUCCAUAAUGUAAUUGGACAGUCUACUAAGUGCUUUUUAUUUCCUCUAAUACAACAAAUGCAAAUGUCGCUUUGCUAGAUGAAGAAAGGAAUACAGAAUAAAAGAAGCCUUUCUACGGUCUAAAGCAUACUCUGUUGCUGGCAAACAAUUUGCCUUUCUCUGAGUAGCAUCAUUCGGUCACAUCAGCCAAAAAGCUCCAGAGCUACCGAGCUUUGUGGUGCCGUAGCACCACCAAAAUGUCAUAAUAGAUCGUACAAUCUAGCAUACUACAAAAAAAUGAUUCAGCACAACGUACGAUUGGUGGCUUCACCAUUUCUCUCUUGCUGGCCUACAGUGCAUGGUAAAAAAAAAUCUCAAUGUGUAUACUAAAUUUAUGACAUGAUGAUAGACACUCCCUCAGUAAACUAAUAUAAGAUCUUUUAGGUCACUUAGGGAGUACAUCUUGUGGCAAUACUAUUUUUCUUUUCAUAAUUCUUUAGUAGUGCUAUCGUGUGCUGGUAGCUUAGCACAGGAACCACGGAACUUAUUUGGUAGCACUAGAACUUCUCUCGUCGUGUAUACUUUUGUUUGACUAGUGCAUACUUUGUUUUGCUGGCCAGUAUGCAGUAGUUUUUCCAGUAAAACAGAGUAUGCACUAGUCACCUUCAGUUGACUCUUUGUGGACCUAUCCUUCAAAUACAAUCCCAGCGGCAGCCGAAUGGAAACUCUGUACCGUAGGAAUAUGUACUCCUUCCAAUCCGCAGUAAGUCCUUUUAGCAUUUUUUUAGUUGAAUAUAUACUCCCACUGCAAUUUUGCUCAUGUUGUUCCUAUUUAGUCCCUCAUCAAAUUCAUUGAGAACUGAGCCUAUAACUCUACCGGGAGGGAAAACAGAAAGUUAUGCAAACAAUUGAAGGGUAGCAUUAACAUUUUUCUACACCCUUAAUUCUUGUGAGCCUAUUUUGGAUUGGAGGGAGUAGUUAAUGCAUGGCGUGGAGAACAUUUGCUCAUCUCCAGAGUUGAGAAUUGAGAAACUACAUGCAAUGCAACACAGUGUAUACUUUGGUGCAUUGUUGUUAGAAACAUCAAUAUAUUUAUCUCAAGUUGUAUGCCUGAAACCUAUUCUAUAUCUGCGCUUGCUUUUAUUUGAGUGCAAUGCAUUAUUAUGUGAUUCAGUUUGCAACGCAUAUUUAAGUUCUGUACAGCUUAUUUGACAUAUUUCUUUUUAAUGUUGCUAGACUGCGGCAGAAUAUGAGCGAAGGAGGGAGAACUUUGUCAAGGAGCUUGACUUUGUGAUUGCCGAUGUGGUAUGCUUUUAUUAUUUUUUGGGAUAUCCUUUACAAACUGGCGAGACUUCGCCUUCAAUUCCGUGUACUCGGAAUUACUACCUACUCCCUCCGUUCAAAUUUGAACUAAAACCACGACAAGUAAAUCGGAACGGAGGGAGUAUGUUCCAAAAACUGAUGAUGUUAAUAAAAGCAUGCACUCAAACUUCUCUUGAUAAAAGGCACAAGGUUUUCUGACUUAGCUAGUAUUUUGUGCAAACAUUUGCAAACGCCAGUAAAUUAUGCAACCGGCUUCAUAUUAGGGGGUUGAAUAAAGCAAUUUAGUUUUGAUUCGAGAUUUCGGUCAUCAUUUUUUUUCCUUUUAGAAAUCUGAACAAAGAAUUAAUACGCACUUUUGGUUGACCCUGCGAAGCUGUGCUAGAGAUUGUUAAUGUGUUAUAAUUCCCAAAUGAAUCUUUUUUAGAUUUUUUGCCAAAACAAAUAAACAGAUUGAUUUUCAAAAUAUAUAACUUGCAUUUUAGACCCAGUCCUAACAGCACAGACCUGCCCCCUUUCCUUUACAAAGUUCCUUUGCAUUUUUUUCCUGAAAAGAAGAGAGGUGUUCUGCCGCUUUUUUUUUGCCGAAAUCGCGCUGCUCUAAUUUAGUAGGAUUAGUGUUUAAAAUAUAGGGGUGGGCGAGCUUGAAAACUGAGUAACCACUUGCAUGCUCGCUUUCAUGCAGGUGAUCUUCUAGUCCAAAAGUUACAUUUAUCUAAAAAUACACUACUUGAUUUGAAGUGCACAAAUGAUUUUUUAGAACUCUUCUGAUUACUAGUCUUAAUCUCUUGUUGCAAUACUUUCUAGGUCAUGGCAAUAGUUGCAGACUUCAUGCUUGUUUGGCUUCCUGCUCCAACUGUGUCUCUGCAACCAGCACUAUCAGUGAAUGCUGGGGCUAUUGCUAAAUUCUUCCACAACUGCCCGGAUAAUGCAUUCCAGGUAACAUGAUCUCAACUUAUUUCCCCCUUUCUGAAAGGUAAAAUAUUUAUCUUUUCCUUGAAACUUGUAAGGGAACUUAUGUGACCUCUUCUGCAGGUUGCUUUGGCUGGAAGGUCAUAUACAUUUUUACAGAGAUUAGGAGCUAUUAUGGUAAAGAUUAACUAUCUGUGCGCUAUUGUGACUUGUUUAGAGCGUGUUUGUUACAAACUAAUGAUUCGUCUUCUUUCAGAGGAAUGGUGCAAAACUUUUUGCAGUAGGAACGAGUGCAUCUUUGGUAAGUUUGUUAUGCUGUAAUUUUGAUGUUUCUGACAAACAGUACUAGCAUUGUGUUUUUAUUCAAUUGUAAUUGUAUUGCCUUGAUGCUAUGUGAGGAGUCGUAGAAGCUUCUGUCAUUUUUUUUGGUUUAAUCAUGAAAUAGCAUGAGGAGAACAAUUAGUUUCCUUUUUUCAAGUACUCUGUUCUCAUAGGAAGAAGUACCCAUUUAGUACUCCACAAAAACAUGCAAAAAAGUACUCUCUCUGUCCCAAAAUAAGUGUCUCAACUUUAGUAUAACUUUGUACUAAAGUUAGUACAAAGUUGAGACACUUAUUUUGGGACGGAGGGAGUCAUAUUUAGAAGAGGUUUGAUGAGGUUGUUAGUUUUCAUGUAAGCACUCGUUAUGUCAUGCACUGCUCAGUUGUUUAAUUGAAAAUCUCGAGGCCUGGUAGUGUACAACUUAAUAAAUUUAAUGGUAAUUGUUAAGUCGAUAUGUUAGCACUGCAACUGUAUAUUACGACCUUGAAGCCUCAAUCAGAUAUGCUGGUUAAUUCUUAAAUAAAGAACAAGCAUGCCUUGCAGAGUGCUAUUGAUCUUGUAUUAGGUGAAGGGAACAUUUGAAAAGCUAAGGAGCAUGGUGAAGUGAUGAUACAAUUUGUUUUGGUUCCACAUAGGAACAACUUUUUUUUAGAUAAUGACAUAGUAACAACUAGCCAGUGCCAUUUUUACUCUUCAAAUACUACUCAAGCCCUUAUGCAAAGCUUAAAAAGAUUUGGGACCAAAAGCGGUUAGCAGUGACCAUUGAAUAAGUUUCCUCAGCUUGAGUUGGGUUCCAGAUUCUUACUAAUAUCAUUUGACAUUUUGUACCCAAAACAAACGCGUUACCAAGCUGCGCUACAUCCCUUUUCAAAAGCACAGCUUGGGGAACUUCAAUAUUGACGGGCUUGCUAGCUAAAUGGCGCAAAAUCUUUUGCAGAUUGGCACGGGUGUGACCAACGCAAUUAUAAAGGCAAGAAAGACUGUUAACAAGGAUGAUGCUGGCGAAGUUGAGGAUAUCCCAAUUGUUUCCACUAGUAUUGCCUAUGGUGUAUACAUGGCAGUUUCUAGUAACCUCAGGUACCAUACAAUAUUGCAAUUAUUACUCUUAUGUGAUAUGUUUAAUUUGCAUGUAAGUGAUUUAAUAUUUCCUAAGAGGUUAAGAUGAACCUUUCUAAUGAUUAUGUUAUGUUAAUUCCGCUUCCGUUCCGAUUGGGACAUUAUGAAGGCUCCAAAAACCGUCUAGUAAAUAAUUAUACAAAAGUAGGACACUAGGAUAUGGAAACCUGAAAAUUUGUGCUGACAAAAAUUAACGAAAACUAAGGCAACUGAACUUCUUCUAUAACAGGUACCAGGUUCUGGCUGGAGUGAUCGAACAGCGGAUGCUUGAGCCGUUACUACACCGCCACAAACUAGCAUUGAGUGCACUGUGCUUUGCGGUUCGGACGGGGAACACAUUCUUGGGUUCUCUACUGUGAGUAAUCUGUAGUCUGCAGGAUGUUAACUCUGAAUUUAAACAUGAAAUUCCGAUGUGGUCACUUACUGGCUGAACAUUUUGCCUUUGCAGGUGGGUUGACUAUGCCAAGUUUAUAGGCAUACAAUAAGUUGAAGACAGACCUAGAAUUGCACAAAUCAUCCGCAACGUCGAUACGUCGCUACGCCGUACCCUUACCGUGCUUCCUAUCCUGACUCAUCUGCCUUCAUUGGAGACACUAAUGACAGAGGUCGAUUGCUUUUGUUGGAAACGAAAGAUGGGUGCAGAGAAAUGGUAAUUUGUCGAAUUCCCAAGAACAAGCGCUUGGAUUCUAUUUGGUGGCUUGUGAGUUUUGUCCUGUUAGAACUCGAUUCGUUUCAGACGAUGGUUUUGCAGUCGUUUCUGUUGCGCAAGUACGUUCAUGUGCUUUGGUUUGGUUCUGUUUAAAUUUGCGGCACAUAACAGAGGAGAUCAUCUAGGUUCUGUAUAAGAGCAUCUCCAUCGGAUGACGUAUAAGAGCAUCUCUAGCCAAUCCAUCAAAAUUUAGGCCCUUAAUAUAUGCCCCCCUUUACCUCAACUCCUUAGAGCAUCUACAACCGGACUUGGCAAAUUCAACCCCUCAAACGCGCCUGGACACUGGCCGGUCAAGCCUCAAAUUGUCAUUCUCACAACCGGACACCUCAAUUAGCAUAUCUCAAAUUCAUACAAACCCAUGCAACUACGUAAACAAUGCACAUCAUCUAGGUACUACAACAUGCCAUCAGACUGUAAAAAUUUGGCUAUGUUUGGCUAUGGUGGAGAAGAUCAUCCACGGUUGCCCUUGUCGUCCUUCUCGCGAAAGUACCGAUCGAAGACACAGUAAGGAUCUGCUCGUUGCUGGAGCUGUCCUCCUUUGGUGGCAGUCCGGCCAUGGCACGGACCGCCCGAUUCUGCCCUCGGGUGAGGGAGCGCGUGUUCUUCCGUUGCCGCUUCUUCACAAUGCGGGCGCGGAUGGCUUCCUCCUCCGCAUCCGCCCGCGCCGUUGCCAUGUCGGCAGCGAGACGGGCCUCGGCGGCCCUUAUCCUCUCCUUCCCACGGCAGGCACAUUGGUCCCGGUGGGACUCAUAGUCUGCCCGACCGGUGAUGGGGAAAAGAGAUUUUUCGGCUGACGGGACCGCGAUGAUCCAACCCCAGAGAAUCCGAGCGUUCAUUGAGCCGAUGUUAUGGAGUCACGCCGGACAGAUCCUGCCGUCGGCCGGGCGCUGUCCUCCCGGGAGCGACGGACUGCAAUGCGGACGACCAUUGCCUCCUCUAACCCGCACGGGAUGACACCCCAUUCGACAGAUCCAGACUGGUCGAAGUCAGAUCCACUGCCCGCCAUGCCAGAGACGGCCGGAGAUCGCCGGACGGGAGCUUGUGCGGCGGAGGGGAGUGGAGGAAAGUGUAGUGAAGUGGCUAGGGUUUGGUUCGGCGAGCGGAUGGUGAGGAAUAUAUGUGGGGUCGGGUGGGCCAGCAUGGGCCAGGUCCGACAUGACGGAUGCGCCCGGGCGCCCCCAUAUCUGCCUCAUAUUUGAGCUGGAUACGAAGGGUGUCGGUAAGCCCGGGCGUUUGAGGGUCAUUUGAGGCGUCCGUCUGGAUCGAAUUUUCGUGUCCGGUCAGUGACCGAGCCGUCCGUUCGGGCAUUUAAGGCGGGUUUGGGGCGUCCGACUGUAGAUGCUCUUAUACUUGCUUUGCUAAAAGAAAAAUGGUUCCUAGCCGAACACCUAGACUUAACUCCUCAAUUUUUUAACACAAAUUCAUUUAUUUGAGGCCAUCGAGUUAAAGGUUUACUACUCAAUUAUUUCAUUAGACGUCAUUUUGUGCACAUGCUUCAACUGUUCCUCACUAGAAGCAUUGAUCCAAAGAAAAUUACACACUUCAACAGAAAUUCCUCACUAGAAGCACUGACCCAAAAAAACCGCAAGGAAAAUUACACACUUCAAUAGAAAUUCCUCACUAGGAGCACUGAUCCAAAGAAAGCGACAAAGAAAAUUACACAUUUCAAUAGAAAUUUUUUGACUGCUCAUACAAGUACAAUCAAUACUUCCUUCGUCUCCUUAUUACUCUUCUCUGUUGCCUUAUCUAGCUUACACACUUGUUUCUUCUGUGCCUCCUCAAACUUGGACAUUGCGGCCUCUUCAAUCUCAUGUCUAAUAACUAGUGCACCAACAUCUAAUAGAUCUCUCUUUAUCAAUAUAUAUCAUUGUAUUAUUCUUCCCAAAAUUAAGCAAACAACGAGCACAGAUUAUAGGUGAACUGAAGCACAAGUGCACUCACUUUGCCCAUUUUGCACUUGAAAAAACCCAUCCGGGAUGGCCUAUCGCCUCUGAGACCCGACGCAGCACCGGCCGCCAACAGUCAUCUCACUUGAUGAUCGAUGAAGGCACACCGAUGAGCUGCUGGGCUAGAGCCAAGCCAGUCGACCUGCCAACGAGGAUACAUCAGCGGUCGGACAACGAUGCGAGCGACGAGAGGAGGAAAACAUACCAAGAGGCGGCGUGGUGAGCUCCGGGUGGCUGUGUGGUUUGGUUUCUGACGUUCCUCGACGAAAUACAAUGGCGCCGGGGCAUAGGUGUGUCGAAUCCGGCGACGGAGGUGACGAGCGUAGGUGCAUCGAACUCGGCAGCGCAGGGACGACCGGCAACUGAAUCGAAGUGAGCGGAGGAGCGGCGGGGCUACUACAGUGGCGCGUGGUCGCCGACAGAGGCAAGGAUAGCUGUGCCAGAGUGGAUGCGGUCGACCGGGGGAGAGAGGCGACCUCGGGGGGUGGGGUUUUUUUUUUUCCAUGAGAAGUGGCACCGAUCGAGUAAAUAUAUGGGGACUCUUCGAAAGGGGAUAAGGGAUUGACUAGGUCCGUUUAAGUCUUUAAAACUAAAAUUUUACUCCUCUAACCGCUUUUGAGGAAUCGGGUUGAGGAUGCUCUAAAAGGGUGACUGUCCACGUUUUUAGGGCAUUUGGACCAAAAAACGGAGCUAUCCCUAAAUCGUGCUGCAAUUUUUCUAGGGCAGCCACAUAUUUUGGCCUCAUGUGAUGCAAAUAUACAACAGCCACGCAACUGUCGUAAAACAAACCCGCAUCUGCGCACAACACACCCUUCGCGUGAAACUUCAUCCCCGCUGCCUCUUUCCCCGCCCGACCUCCGCCAUUAUCAAAUCCGGACACCACCGCCGCACCGCCCGGUCACCAGAUCCAUCGCCCAUGCGUCCGUUCGGCUGCCGCUCCAUCUUCACCACCGAGCCAAAGAUGCUGCACCGCAACCCCGAGCCGAGGAGUAGCAUGAACGUUCAGUUCUGGCCGCUAAGCCUUCGAGAUCUUGUGCGACGGGAUGGCGCAGUGGCUCCGUACCUUCGUGACACUGGAGCUCUUCAUUUGGGCUUAUGACGCCAUGGCUUGGAGGUAGCACCGGCUAAAGUCUGAACUAAAUUUUCCGGACAUCACGAGUCGGGAGGUGGCGGAGUUCCUCGCUCCCGAAUUGAGGAGUGUGUCUUGCAAGGAGGAGAAGGAAGACCGUAUCGUCAUGCAGCAGCACUCUGCCCGUGAGAGCGAUGACGCAGCUAUGGCAAGGUUCCCCGCGGAAAAUCCUCACCUUGUGUAGACGGGAUACGAGUUAUUUGCCAGUAGGGACGCGCAAUGCAAGAAGGCGAUCAAGAAGAAGGACAAGGUUGGCCCCUCGGUGAUCAAGGAGGACGAGUCAGGCCCCUCGGUGAUCAAUGUUGAUGCUAACGAUGAAGAAGAAGAGGUCGAGGUGGAUAGUGAGACCUAGUCAUUCAUGGAGCUUUGGAACCGUGUCGACGACGGGGAUCAUGAUGAUGAAUAGUGUGUGUGCGUAGCACCGAGUCUAUCGUAGGACUUCCGUAGUAUUAUUAUGUUUAAGUUUGAAAUGUCGAAAUAUGCAAUAAUCAUGUACCCUAUUUACAUCAUCUGAUACGACAGAAAAGAUUCUGGUGCCCUAUUUUACAUCAUUUGGUACGACAUUUUUAUGCCCUAUAAUCCACUUUUUGGUGCCCUAAUACUUUUUUUGGCUGCCCUAUUAUACAUCAUCUGAUGGAGAUGCUCUAAACACGUCUUGACUUAUGGUUAUGGGCCUCACCAACUUAAAAGGUCCCCAAGAGCUUAGAACGGGAAGAUCUCUCUUAGUUUCUCGAAGCUGCUUAUAAGGAUAGGGUGCGUGUGAACAUUCAUAGGGGGUGAGUGUGUGCACGUGUUGUGAGCAUCAACAUCUCUAUUGUGUUGAAAACAAGAGGAAAACACUCGUAAUCCACCGACUGAUCACAUCAUUUCAUAGCAUGUGUUGCACUAUUGCUACUCUCUCUCUCUCUCCGACGUGGAACCCAUCGUUCUCCUAUCUCUCUCUCCAACGCGGAGGCCGUCAUUCUCCUCUUUUGUCCAUGCGAGAGACGCCAUAACUACGACAACAAAAUUUUCUAGCACGGUGCUGCCUCCCCCGAUCUUGCCCUCCUGUGCAUAGUCUCAAGCUGAUAAAGCAAGUCAACAUUGCUACAAAGAGGUGAGCCUCCUAUGCUGCAAAGGCCAACCAUCGGCGGUGCCUCCAUUGUUGCCGUUGUGAACACGUGAAUGUGGUGGCCCUGCUCUUGUUGCAAGCUAUGGAUGUAGCCAUCACUGUUGUAUGGAGCAGCCACUAGUAAUGCAAGCACGUGGGUGGUUAGUGCUUCAAAGGGGUCACUGGUGUUGAGAGACGAGGGGCUAAUGCUCGUCGCGACACGCUGCGGGACGGGUCACGUUGCUGCGGGGUGGCACACUCGGCGCCAUCAUUACUCAUCACCUCUGAGACAAGCUACUAUGUCAACGACCGUGCUGCAAACAGCGACGGGAGCGCUGGCGGCGACACACAUCCGCAAUAGCGGUGGAGCUCUACAACAUCAUCGAUGACGCCGCUGCUAGAUUGCAACAUGAUUAAUGUUGCGGCCAGGACUGCAAUGUGAUAGACGUUGGAAACGGUGGUGUUAUGCAACAUCAUCGAUGUUGCAGCAGCUACAUUGCAACAUGGUCAAUGUUGCGUCCGAAUUGCAACCAUUCGACCACACUGAUCCAAUGGCUCGCGACCUGACCGACCUUUGGCAAAGAUCAGCCGGCCAACGCGUAGUGGCCAAAAAAAAGGAGAUGAAUGAUGCAAAGUCCAAGCAUGAAGAUCCUAAAAAAAAGUGUCCAAGCAUGAAGCCAACCACGCACGAUGGAUCCCAAAAAAAAAGAAAAAGAAAAUAAUAACUACGCACGAUGUAGGCUGGCCGGCCCGAGACGAUCCUGUUUUUGAUGGUUUGUGUACGCGUAUAUACGCGCCCGAGUUCGACCUCUACAGUACAUGUUGGAACGCAAGCCGCGAAUGCUUCGGCAAAUUUGACAAAUUUGACCUAUAGACGAAAUCAAAUCACAGAAUGAACUAUUCAUGAAACUAUUUCACGCGGCUGAUCUUUUUGUGCGACGCCCGACACGAAGGCGCCACACUACAUUGUGCAACGCCUCACAGAUAGGCGCUACACGGCCAGCGUCACACCCGUGUGAUCAGAAAAUUACUAAGUCAGUGUGCAGCGCAUACAGUGUAGCGCCUAGCUCCUAGGCGUUGCACUAGUGCAGCGCCUAGCUCCCAGACGUUGCACUAGUGCAGCGCCUGAGAGCUAGGCGCCACGGGUCAGCCGCGUGAAAUAGUUUUACGGACAGUUCAUUCUGUGAUUUGAUUUCGUUUAUAGGUCACAUUUGUUAAAUUUGCCGAAUGCUUCAUACGUGCGUGUGCCAGACAACUACUCCACACGCCCUAUAUAUAUGUCAACAUCCACACGCCCUAUAUAUCCAGAAUAUAUUUCUCGUGUGUUGUUUCUUGCCAGGGCCAGUAGAUUGGGCUAGACGACCGUCGCACAUCCACCAAGAUCGGUCUCGAUGGCUAUGAUGAGGGCGAAGUGGUUCCUGACGGGCGUGCCGGUGGGGUUCUGGUGGGGGUGGAAGAAGAGCAGCGAGUGGGAGCUGGAGGCGAUGGUGGAGUCGGUGCUGCCGCGCCCGGUGGCGAGGCACGUCAUCGACCUCCUGCCCAAGGCCACCGCCGACGCGCGCCACAAGGGAGUGAUUGACAAAAAACUACCACUUUAAGGGUUACCAUCCCACAGAACUACCACUUCUAAAAUACUGACAAAAACUAUAAAAAAAAUUUCUAAUUUCAUGACUAAAAACUACCACUUUCGGAAAAUGGCUGGUUUAGAUUAUUUAAACAUGUUUAUGACAUGUAGGACCCAGGUGUCAGCAUUGAUCUUCUUCUUCCUCAUCCCCUCUCUCUACUUGGCAUUUCAACAAACACCUCAGGAGCACAACCACGCCGCCGCCGCCGCCGCCAGCGGUGGUGAGCUGUCUGCGCCGCCGACGCCAGCGGUGAUGAGCUGUUUGCGCCGCCGAGAACACCGAGGAGUUGGGCCUGCUGGCCACGGACGACCCCGAGCUGCUCCGACCCCGACCACCGUCAGCAGCAGCCAGGUCUUGGCUGGAAUAGGAGUGUCGCAGCCGCGUUUGCGGGAACCAACAGCAGCCAAGUCUCCUGGAACAGCAGCGCCGGCGGCCAGCGUCUUCCUCGCCGGGAGAUGGAGGGGCGGGUCCUCGCCGGAUCCUGCGGCGCCGGCGACUUCCUCGCCGGGAGAUGGAGGGGCGGGUGCACGCUGGAUCCCGCGGCGCCGGCGGCUACCUCGCCGGGAGAUNNNNNNNNNNNNNNNNNNNNNNNNNNNNNNNNNNNNNNNNNNNNNNNNNNNNNNNNNNNNNNNNNNNNNNNNNNNNNNNNNNNNNNNNNNNNNNNNNNNNNNNNNNNNNNNNNNNNNNNNNNNNNNNNNNNNNNNNNNNNNNNNNNNNNNNNNNNNNNNNNNNNNNNNNNNNNNNNNNNNNNNNNNNNNNNNNNNNNNNNNNNNNNNNNNNNGGAUCCUGCGGCGCCGGCGGCUUCCUCGCCGGGAGAUGGAGGGGCGGGUGCACGCUGGAUCCCGCGGCGCCGGCGGCUACCUCGCCGGGAGAUGGAGGGGCGGCUGCUUCGCCGGGACAUGGAGGGGCGGCUGCUCGUCGUAUCCCGUAGCUCCGGCAGCGAGCGGCUGCCUCGCUGGCCAGAUCGAGCGGAGUCAGGAGCAGAUGUACGGGUGGAGCGACGGUGCGGUGCGGGGUCAGGGGCAGCGGUUGACUUUUUUUUAACUGAGAUUGAGAAUUUAGAAGAAAAAAACAUGUCAGCCCUGACUGGUAGGCCCCGCAUGUCAUAAACAUGUUUAAAUCGUUUAAACCGGUCAUUUUCCAAAAAUGGUAGUUUUUAGUCACGAAAUUAAAAAAAAUUGAUAGUUUUCGGUCAGUUUUUUAAAAAUGGUAGUUCUGUGAGACGGUAACCCCUAAAGUGAUAGUUUUUUGUUAAUUACUAGCCACAAGGCGCGACCGGAGGAGUCCAUCCGGGAGAACGCCCGCAAGCAGGAGGAGACCAUCCGGAGGCAGGACGAGGCCCUGAGGAGGAUGGAGGCCACCGCGAUGAGGCAGGAGCAGACCAUCGGCCUGCUGCACGCCGUCAUCGCGCGCCUGCAGGAGGCCGAAGACCAGGGUCUCCUGCUGAAGCAGAGCUCGUCAUCGCCGACGACCACCCCGGCGUCGGCGCCGACGAAGCAGCAGUAGUACGUGCGUCGUCCUGAAAUCCUAAGCGUGCGUUCGUGAGUUGCUUCUGCUUGCGUGAUACGUCUACGUGUUGACGGUUCGAUCUAGUAGUAGUUGAUGGUCGGAGAAAACCUUUUGUUUGCUCUUUAAUUUUGACAGUAUACUGCAUGUGCCAUGCUCGAUUGACCGUGUGUCCGUGUGAUAACCGUUGGAAUAUGCAUGAUGUAGCGAGGAUGCACAUACACGUGCAUCUUCUGUCCACCUACGUCGUGACUCUGUGCUUCGACUUUCGUGAUGCACAUGAGCACACAUCUCCAUGCGUGCGCUCUGUUUAUAUACUGGAUACGAUAAUGAACCAAAAUUGUAAAUAAAGCACAACUAAGAUGGUCCACCCAAAAAAGAUUUUUUUUUCUUUCACGUUCAUGUUUGCCGAUAGCAUCUAAACCAACUCUAGCAGAAUCUGUCAUAUUAGGCAAAUCGACAUAAUAACCAUCAAUAUAAGGAUUCUACCCAAAAAAAAGUUAUGUCAAGUUCAAUCUUUUAUUUUGUGGGGAAAGGAGUUCAGACUUGAUUUCAAGCUCAACAAUUUUGCUAGUACUGUACAUGGUAAGAAGUUUGUUUCAACUAUAAAAAGACGGUUAAAAAAAUGUGAGCAUUCUUGUAAUGAAUUCCAAAGAAAGGGUUUCUUGAGGUUGUACAAAGACUUCAUUUUCUUUCGGGUCUGUCUAGGACUUAUCUAGAUGUGAUAUCGUUAUGUCACAUCUAAAUUGAAAUCAUCACCUGUUUAUAGCCUUUUAUUUGUUUGUUGUUUUCUUUUUUGUUAUUGUAUCGUCUCGGCCUUGUCUUUUCUUUUUUGUGUGACCAGGGCACGCUCGCAUGGGCAAGGGUCAGCGUGCCUCACACCGUCACACGCUUGCUCACUCUACGGCCUGUAACUGAUAGUACGUAGUAACGAUUUGUGUUUUUAUUCCUUUUGUUUCUUUUUUUUCUAUUUUUUUUCUUUCAGGUGUAGUUUUUUCAGUUCUAAUUUAUGUUAAAAAAUUAUACACACUGAUUUUUUUGCAUAUAUGGUGAACAUUGUUUUCAAUACACAGUGAACAAAUUCUAAAAUUAUGAUGAACAUAUUUGUAAUAUACAUUGAACAAAUAUUUAGUAUAUGAUGACCUUUUUUAAUAUACAUUGAACUUAUUUUCUAUAUAUUGUGUAUGUUAUUUAACAUAUAUACGGUGAACCUUUUACAAAAUACUCACUGAAGAAUUUUAAAAUGGCGGACUUCUAAUAAUAAAUAAAACAAUAGAAGAGGAAAGUAAAAAACUGGUCAAAAAUCUAGAAAAAUGUUCACAUAUUAAAAAAAUGUAUGUGGAUUUAAAACAAUCAUGAAUUUGAACAUUGUUUGCAAAUUCGAAAUAUGUUAUUUUAAAAUGGACCCUAGUUGCGUAUCAUGGGUGAAGUUGCAACAAAGAAGAAUAUUAGUCGGGCCCCCAAUUGCAUAUCGAGGGUGGAGUUGAAUAAUAAUAGGUACUUUAGAACAUUGUUACAAGAGUAAAUCACCUCUACAACUACAAACAUUUUUGCAACCGGGGACCCUCGACAAACACCCCCCCCCCCUAGUUGCCAGUCGAUGCUCGGCAUGCAACUGGGGACCCUCGACAAACACACACACACCCCUAGUUGCAAGUAAUUGCGAGUCGAUGCUCGGCACGCAACUGGGGACCCUCGACAAACACACACACAUCCGUAGUUUCGAGUCGAUGGUUGACAAUCAACUGGGGACCCUCAACAAACACCCCUAGUUGCGANNNNNNNNNNNNNNNNNNNNNNNNNNNNNNNNNNNNNNNNNNNNNNNNNNNNNNNNNNNNNNNNNNNNNNNNNNNNNNNNNNNNNNNNNNNNNNNNNNNNNNNNNNNNNNNNNNNNNNNNNNNNNNNNNNNNNNNNNNNNNNNNNNNNNNNNNNNNNNNNNNNNNNNNNNNNNNNNNNNNNNNNNNNNNNNNNNNNNNNNNNNNNNNNNNNNNNNNNNNNNNNNNNNNNNNNNNNNNNNNNNNNNNNNNNNNNNNNNNNNNNNNNNNNNNNNNNNNNNNNNNNNNNNNNNNNNNNNNNNNNNNNNNNNNNNNNNNNNNNNNNNNNNNNNNNNNNNNNNNNNNNNNNNNNNNNNNNNNNNNNNNNNNNNNNNNNNNNNNNNNNNNNNNNNNNNNNNNNNNNNNNNNNNNNNNNNNNNNNNNNNNNNNNNNNNNNNNNNNNNNNNNNNNNNNNNNNNNNNNNNNNNNNNNNNNNNNNNNNNNNNNNNNNNNNNNNNNNNNNNNNNNNNNNNNNNNNNNNNNNNNNNNNNNNNNNNNNNNNNNNNNNNNNNNNNNNNNNNNNNNNNNNNNNNNNNNNNNNNNNNNNNNNNNNNNNNNNNNNNNNNNNNNNNNNNNNNNNNNNNNNNNNNNNNNNNNNNNNNNNNNNNNNNNNNNNNNNNNNNNNNNNNNNNNNNNNNNNNNNNNNNNNNNNNNNNNNNNNNNNNNNNNNNNNNNNNNNNNNNNNNNNNNNNNNNNNNNNNNNNNNNNNNNNNNNNNNNNNNNNNNNNNNNNNNNNNNNNNNNNNNNNNNNNNNNNNNNNNNNNNNNNNNNNNNNNNNNNNNNNNNNNNNNNNNNNNNNNNNNNNNNNNNNNNNNNNNNNNNNNNNNNNNNNNNNNNNNNNNNNNNNNNNNNNNNNNNNNNNNNNNNNNNNNNNNNNNNNNNNNNNNNNNNNNNNNNNNNNNNNNNNNNNNNNNNNNNNNNNNNNNNNNNNNNNNNNNNNNNNNNNNNNNNNNNNNNNNNNNNNNNNNNNNNNNNNNNNNNNNNNNNNNNNNNNNNNNNNNNNNNNNNNNNNNNNNNNNNNNNNNNNNNNNNNNNNNNNNNNNNNNNNNAAACUCACACACCCCUAGUUGUGAUUCCACCAGACACACACACACACACAUCGUUGCGAAUUGAUGGUUGACAUGCAACUGGGGACCACGACAAACACACAAAAGCACCCUUAGUUAUGGGUCGAUGGUCGGCUUGCAACUGAGGGGCCCUAACAAACACACACACCCUUAGUUGCGACGUGAUGGUUGGCAUGUAACUGGGGACCCUCGACAAGCGCACACACCACUAGUUGUGAGUCGAUGGUUGUAAAAAAAACAAAAAAAAAAUAG